UACGGGGGAGCAAGCGUUGUUCGGAUUUACUGGGCGUAAAGGGCGCGUAGGCGGCCACCGCAAGUCGACUGUGAAAUCUCCGGGCUUAACCCGGAAAGGUCAGCCGAUACUGCGGGGCUAGAGUGCAGAAGGGGCAACUGGAAUUCUCGGUGUAGCGGUGAAAUGCGUAGAUAUCGAGAGGAACACCUGCGGCGAAGGCGGGUUGCUGGGCUGACACUGACGCUGAACUGCGAAAGCUAGGGGAGCGAACGGG
rnacentral:rRNA from 1 species